rnacentral:rRNA from 1 species
UGGGGGAUAUUGCACAAUGGGGGAAACCCUGAUGCAGCGACGCCGCGUGUGGGAAGACGGUCCUCUGGAUUGUAAACCACUGUCCCCAGGGACGAAGAUGACGGUACCUGGGAGGAAGCUCCGGCUAACUACGUGCC